rnacentral:lncRNA from 1 species
AAGAAACUUCUCGCCAAAACAAAACAUAGAAUUAGAAGUUUAUCAGCAGCAAACCGGAAAGACAGAGGAAGUUCCUUUCCCGCCUAACAUAACAAUAAAUACAGCUUGUCCCGCCCUUCCAAACUUUCAAUUCAUCAUCUUAUUACAGCAAGCAAUAACUGUAAGUUUCACCUUCUUGCAUAGCUAAACUACAGGGAUAUAUACGCAGAAAAAACAGAAUAACAAAAUCAAAGGUUCGAUAUGCUACUAUGUUAUCAUUGUGUCUCUUUUUCCAUGUUCUAAUUUUUUAAUUCUAGACUAGAUACUUGUUGUUUCCAUAGACAUGCCCAAU